rnacentral:rRNA from 1 species
UACGUAGGGUGCAAGCGUUGUUCGGAAUUACUGGGCGUAAAGGGCGCGCAGGCGGCUCGUUUUGUCAGGCGUGAAAGCCCCGGGCUUAACCUGGGAACUGCGUUUGAUACGGACGGGCUAGAGUUCGGGAGAGGAGAGUGGAAUUCCCAGUGUAGAGGUGAAAUUCGUAGAUAUUCGGAAGAACACCAGUGGCGAAGGCGGCUCACUGGACUGGUAUUGACGCUGAGGUGCGAAAGCGUGGGGAGCAAACAGG